ensembl:snRNA U6 U6 spliceosomal RNA
GUGCUCACUUCAGCAGCACAUAUACUAAAAUUAGAAUGAUACGGAGAAGAUGAACAGGGCCAUGCACCAGAUGAUAUGCCAAUUCAUGAAGUGUUCCUUUCUUAU